rnacentral:rRNA from 1 species
GAAAGCCGGAUUAAUACCGCAUACGAUCUACGGAUGAAAGCGGGGGACCUUCGGGCCUCGCGCUAUAGGGUUGGCCGAUGGCUGAUUAGCUAGUUGGUGGGGUAAAGGCCUACCAAGGCGACGAUCAGUAGCUGGUCUGAGAGGACGACCAGCCACACUGGGACUGAGACACGGCCCAGACUCCUACGGGAGGCAGCAGUGGGGAAUUUUGGACAAUGGGCGAAAGCCUGAUCCAGCAAUGCCGCGUGUGUGAAGAAGGCCUUCGGGUUGUAAAGCACUUUUGUCCGGAAAGAAAUCCUUGGUUCUAAUAUAACCGGGGGAUGACGGUACCGGAAGAAUAAGCACCGGCUAACUACGUGCCAGCAGCCGCGGUAAUACGUAGGGUGCGAGCGUUAAUCGGAAUUACUGGGCGUAAAGCGUGCGCAGGCGGUUUGUUAAGACCGAUGUGAAAUCCCCGGGCUCAACCUGGGAACUGCAUUGGUGACUGGCAAGCUAGAGUAUGGCAGAGGGGGGGUAGAAUUUCCACGUGUAGCAGUGAAAUGCGUAGAGAUGUGGAGGAAUACCGAUGGCGAAGGCAGCCCCCUGGGCCAAUACUGACGCUCAUGCACGAAAGCGUGGGGGAGCAAACAGGAUUAGAUACCCUGGUAGUCCACGCCCUAAACGAUGUCAACUAGUUGUUGGGGAUUCAUUUCCUUAGUAACGUAGCUAACGCGUGAAGUUGACCGCCUGGGGAGUACGGUCGCAAGAUUAAAACUCAAAGGAAUUGACGGGGACCCGCACAAGCGGUGGAUGAUGUGGAUUAAUUCGAUGCAACGCGAAAAACCUUACCUACCCUUGACAUGGUCGGAAUUCCGCUGAGAGGUGGAAGUGCUCGAAAGAGAACCGGCGCACAGGUGCUGCAUGGCUGUCGUCAGCUCGUGUCGUGAGAUGUUGGGUUAAGUCCCGCAACGAGCGCAACCCUUGUCCUUAGUUGCUACGCAAGAGCACUCUAAGGAGACUGCCGGUGACAAACCGGAGGAAGGUGGGGAUGACGUCAAGUCCUCAUGGCCCUUAUGGGUAGGGCUUCACACGUCAUACAAUGGUCGGAACAGAGGGUUGCCAACCCGCGAGGGGGAGCUAAUCCCAGAAAACCGAUCGUAGUCCGGAUUGCACUCUGCAACUCGAGUGCAUGAAGCUGGAAUCGCUAGUAAUCGCGGAUCAGCA